AUGCGUACCAUUUCAUAUAGUUUGUAUACCAUUUUAUACAAGUUAUUUCUAAUAACUUGUAAUGUAGAAACUUAAUAUAUGCAAUGCAAUUUUUAUUAUAGGUAGUGUGAUAGCCCCCUCCCCUAUUGCGCCUAUGAGCGGGAAAAUCACCACGGAUUGGGACUUUUUUUGAUCCUACCAAAUUUUCAAAGGCGCUCAAUGGGCCUCCCAAGCUAAAAUUCUUGGCGCAGCCACUGUUCUUACACUUAUGAAACAAAAACCCAGUGAUUAACAACAUUGUCUAGUGUCCUAUAAUGCCAAUUUUAAUAUGCAAUUUUUGUGUUUUAAAUACAAUUAAAUCCAGUCUUUAGUCAUGACAUAGCCCAGGAAUAAUGGGUCAUGUGUAAUAAAGUGCGUUAAAUAAAUACGAGUAUAAGAACUAUACUCUUAUACUUAAUAAUUUGUUGUGCAGAAGAGCAGUAAUUUUACGUACAUCAGUUUGUAUUAUGCCAUAAUGCAUAUCGGUAGAAAUCUAUUAAUAGACUAAUAAUUAUUAGUUUAUAUAAUUAAUUUAUAACAACCAAUUGUUUUGGAAAGCUGAUUUUCGAAUAUAAGGUGGACUAUGUAAUUACAGAUGAUUAUCCAAAUUUCAUCUGGAUCAGAGAAUGAGGAAUCCGGGUCAGGGUGGUUUAGUCUGGUCAGUAAAAGUAAGAGUUAUUAUAAUAUUAUUAAAAUUAACAAAUAUAAUAAAUUGUUUGUAAUGAAAAUUGUAUUUAAAAUAUAUAAAUUGUUGAAAUGAAUUGGAACUAUAGGUACCGAGUUACUUUUACCAUUCCAUUACAAAUCAGGGGUCUUGAUAAAUAAUAUUAACAAGUUGGUGAUUAUCAUAAAUGUUCAUUAAUAUUUUAAAACAUACGGAAUCGUUAGGUCGUAACAUCUACACAUCCGAUUUUGCAAACACAACAUCACUUAAAUUUAUGUAUUCAGAUUAGUAGCUCACGCUGAUUUUUUUGUAAAACUGGAGGAGAUACUGAACGAAGAUCUGUGCAUUGUUCACAAAUAUUUCAAUUCUUGGCACCUAACUCUUAACCCUACCAAAUAACUUCCAUCGCUUUCUACUUAAAUAAUAGAGACGCUAACAGAAAACUUAACUUAAUGUCCCAGGUAAUUAAGAUAUAAAGAGAAGACGCCCUGUGAUAUCUAGGAACUAAACUAGAUAGAAUAUUGACCUUCAAGCAACACCUAGAGGGAGUUAGAAAAAAGUUAAAAAUCAGAAAUAACAUUAUCAGUAAGUUAGCCAAACUAGCUGGUGGGGCAGGGCAAAUAUACUCCGCACAUCUGCCUUAGGACUAGUGUAUAACAUUGCGCCCCAGUAUGGAAGAGUAGUGUUUACGCGAAGAAAUUAGAUGUUGAAUUAAAUAAUACGAUGAGAAUUAUUUCAGGCUGUGUCCGGGCAACAAAAGUGUAAUGGCUCCCAGUCCUUUUAAUAUAGCACCACCAGAAUUUCGCAGAUAUG